rnacentral:misc_RNA from 1 species
UGGAAGUAAAAGUCGUAACAAGGUUUCCGUAGGUGAACCUGCGGAAGGAUCAUUCACAAGAUUAUAAUAUUUUAUUACUUUGUGGAAAAUUUGGUUGAAUUUACAUGUUUUAUUACAAAAAAUUAAUUAUAAUUAAAAAAAUAAUUUUAAGAAAACCUCCAACAACGGAUCUCUUGGUUCCCAGAUCGAUGAAGAGCGCAGCGAAUUGCGAAAUGUGAUGUGUAUUGCAGUGAAUCAUCAAUUCUUGAACGCACAUGGCACCCCUUUUAGGGGUAUGCUUGUAUGAGGGUGUUUAAUAUGAAAUUGCUUUGGCUUUUUUUAAAUAAAUGGUUUUUCAAACAUUGUUACUAAUAAAGAUGAAAGAAUCAGUGCAACAAGCUGUGUUGAAUCUUUCAAUUAAAAUCUUUUUUAGUUAACAUUUUUUAACUAUUUACGCCUCAUAUCAAGCAAGACUACCCGCUGAACCUAAGCAUAUCAAUAAGCGGAGG